UACGUAGGGGGCAAGCGUUGUCCGGAAUUAUUGGGCGUAAAGCGCGCGCAGGCGGUAAGCGAAGUCGAGUGUUUAAGCCCGGGGCUCAACCCCGGUUCGCACUCGAAACUGGCUCACUUGAGUGUAGGAGAGGAAAGUGGAAUUCCACGUGUAGCGGUGAAAUGCGUAGAGAUGUGGAGGAACACCAGUGGCGAAGGCGACUUUCUGGCCUAUAACUGACGCUGAGGCGCGAAAGCGUGGGGAGCAAACAGG
rnacentral:rRNA from 1 species